GAUGAACGCUGGCGGCGUGCCUAAUACAUGCAAGUCGAGCGGUAAGGCCACUUCGGUGGUACACGAGCGGCGGACGGCUGAGUAACACGUAGGAACGUACCCCAAACUGAGGGAUAACUGCUCGAAAGAGUAGCUAAUACCGCAUGUGCUCUAAGGAGUAAAGCUUUAUGCGCUUUAGGAAUGGCCUGCGUAAGAUUAGCUUGUUGGUGAGGUAAUGGCUCACCAAGGCGACGAUCUUUAGCUGGUCUGAGAGGAUGAUCAGCCAGACUGGGACUGAGACACGGCCCAGACUCCUACGGGAGGCAGCAGUAGGGAAUCUUCCACAAUGGGCGAAAGCCUGAUGGAGCAACGCCGCGUGCAGGAUGAAGGCCUUCGGGUUGUAAACUGCUUUUAUAUGUGAAGAUUAUGACGGUAGCAUAUGAAUAAGGAUCGGCUAACUCCGUGCCAGCCGCCGCAGUAA
rnacentral:rRNA from 1 species